AACGAACGCUGGCGGCGUGGAUAAGACAUGCAAGUCGAACGGGACUUUUUCUGGUAGCAAUACCGGAAAAGUUUAGUGGCGAACGGGUGCGUAACACGUGGACAAUCUGCCUUAAAGUGGGGGAUAGCUCGGCGAAAGCCGAAUUAAUACCGCAUGUGAUGAGAGAUGACAUCGUCUUGAAAUCAAAGCCGGGGCAACCUGGCGCUUUUUGAGGAGUCCGCGGCCUAUCAGCNGUUGGUGAGGUAACGGCUCACCAAGGCUUUGACGGGUAGCUGGUCUGAGAGGACGACCAGUCACACUGGAACUGAGACACGGUCCAGACACCUACGGGUGGCAGCAGUCGAGAAUUUUUCUCAAUGGGGGAAACCCUGAAGGAGCGACGCCGCGUGGAGGAUGAAGGUCUUCGGGUUGUAAACUCCUGUCAUUUGAGAACAAGGCGCGCGUGUUAACUGCACGCGUGUUGAUAGUAUCAGAAGGAAGGAAGGGACGGCUAACUCUGUGCCAGC
rnacentral:rRNA from 1 species